UUUCCCGGGGUGUGUGCGGAUUCUCAAUAAAAAGGGAAAAGCACGAUCCAAGUUAAUUUUCCAGCGCCGACAGGAAAUGCUGUUUCCUGCAUCGUACAACGCUGGUGCCAACAAGACUGACACAGGAGCCCAUUGUCCCGCGAACAAUGUGGCGAUGGGGAAGGACGCCUGAGAAAACAGACCCCGGCCCCAUCUCUCUUACCGGGGGAUGCACCAAAGCCCAGCUGUUCAGUGUCAAUGGCUGCCAGCUCCCAACUACAUCCCACACAGACGGGAGCCACCUCAAUGUCUGCGAGAUUUCCUGUCCCUCCUUUUCAAUCCCAUCAAGGCACCCUCUACCAAUGACUGAUGGAUACAGGGAUACAAAAGCCCAGACACCUAUCUUCCAAGAGGAAAAAACUCUGUGGUGGUGCCAUUUAUGUUCCAGAGCAACUGCGGGAUCAAGCUGAGGCUGGACUCCAGCUGAAACCACAUGCAACAGACUGAAUGCUUGUGCCCUCCCAAAAUUAAUAUGUUGAAGCUCUAAUCCCAAUGUGAUGAUGGUAUUAGGGAGGUAAUUGGGUCAUAAAGGUGGAUCCCCUGUUAAUGGGAUUAGUGCCCUUAUAGGAAGAGGCCAGAGAACUAGCUUGCUCCCUUUUCUCCAUGUAAGGACACAGCAAGAAGGUGGCAGUCUGCAAGCCAGGAAGAGAGCCCUCACCAGAGCCUGCCUAUGCUGGCACUCUGAUCUUGAACUUCCAGCUUCCAACACUGUGAGAAAUAAAUGUGUAUUGUGUGA